rnacentral:hammerhead_ribozyme from 1 species
AUCCAACUGAUGAGUACCAAAUAGGACGAAACACGCGUCCUGGAU